rnacentral:tRNA from 1 species
GCCUUCGUAGUGUAGUGGUCAGCACGCUCGGCUCGCAUUCGAGAGUUCCGUGGUUCGAUUCCCGGCGAAGGCA